GUGCCAUAUCUGACUGUACGCA
rnacentral:miRNA from 5 species